rnacentral:lncRNA from 1 species
AACAUUUUUUAUAUUUUUAUUAUUUUCAUAGUUAUUUUAUAAUUAUAUUUGUAUAUAAUUUUUAAAUAUUAAUUCGUAUUGCAACAUAUAAUAAUAUAUGCCGGUAAUUAUAGCCUUUAGCAAUAUUUAUUAUAUAAUGUUGGUGAAUUUAUAUAUUCAACAACACUUUUAUUUGUGUGUUACUAAAUAAAAUAAAUAGUGACAUAUACUUAAGUAUUGCUAGAAAAAUGUUGCUAAAUAUCAAUAUUGUUGCAGUGAAGUUUAAAUAGUAAUAUAAAUCUG